AACCGCUUGUUGUUGCCUUCUU
rnacentral:miRNA from 2 species